rnacentral:rRNA from 1 species
UACGUAGGGGGCAAGCGUUGGUCCGGAUUUAUUGGGCGUAAAGAGCGUGUAGGCGGCCAAACAGGUCCACUGUGAAACAUCGAGGCUCAACCUCGAGAGGUCGGUGGAAACCGUCUGGCUAGAGUCCGGAAGAGGAGAGUGGAAUUCCCGGUGUAGCGGUGAAAUGCGCAGAUAUCGGGAAGAACACCAGUGGGCGAAGGCGGCUCACUGGCCCGGGUGACU